rnacentral:lncRNA from 1 species
CCUAACUUCUUCUAAACUUCUCCAACCUCCUCCCUAGUCUAGAGCUUUGAGUCCAGGCCCCUGCAGCAAAAAAUCAGCAUCCACUCCAAUGGAAAUUCUUCUCCAAAAUCUUCCAGCGGUGAGUGUUGUUCAAGUUUUGCACUUCUGCCCAGCUUCUUCUGAACUUCUGUUUAUUUCAUACCUAGUGAAUUUGCCUUGAAAUUAGACCAUCCAUAUAUACCUUCAUCUCAGUAAAAAUAGUUUGUCUACAAACUGGUACUACUGUUAGCUACUUUUACAUAAUUCUUAGCUGGUUGGUUAGCCUAAAUCAGUAGGCACCAAGCUCAAAAAUUCUGAAACUCUACACACUCCUCUAGCGAACAACAAGGGAUGCUCUAACUGAAACACUAAAACUCAAUUGUGCCGCGAGUGCCUAACUAUGUUCGUCGAUGCAGCUCUCAUCACAAACUCUUUGUUUUGCCUUGUGAAAACGAUGCAAAUCUGGGCAUCCAGUCGCGGAGAGAUGUGCGGAGCGCUGCAUUCCGUCGUCGUCGACCCCGCGGUCGUGGGCAACCAGGCAGCUGAUGUAGAUACAUCCUUAGCGGCAGUGCUAUUCUACUGUCCGCAUUGCAGAUAUAUGGUUGGUGAUUUGUCACUUGUUAAAUUACAUGAUGAGAUGACAUGAGUUGUGGAAAAGGAGCGAGCAGGACACAAUAAAGAUGAUGUCUUGACUUCAUUUUUGGGACAGUUCGAAAUGUGUUUGGGUCAAUUUCUUCUUUAUUUUCUCAGUCACUGUCUUGUUCUUGCUCAUUUUAUUGAAAGAUGGUCUUGUGUUCUGUGAAGAUGUGAACAAAAAAUAUGUAUUCACAACAAAGGACACAAAGAUGUUGUGGUGAUGUAAAGUCCGCCCCAGCAUAUGUAGUUUUCCAGAUUGCUAUGAAUAUUUUGUAAUCUUAAUGGUGGCGUUGAUGCAAUUUAUUUCUGUAGAUGUAUAAAACUUGUUCGAUUCAGGGUGAACAAAAACAUGUUGCUACAUGUCGAGUGUUCCUGACUUGAGCGUGUAUAUUCUUUUGAUUUAUGUGGCAUUAUAUAUGAGGUACUGCGGUACUGAGGUUUGGCUGGAAAUGAGUGAGGGAGUUAAUUUGUUUCAGCCUUGAGCUUGUUGCUGCUUCUUUCUAGUAGCAUCAUGGUACCAGCAUUUCGUACAUUGAUGUUUCCUCUCUACUAGGCGGUGUGAUGUUUUAGGAACAAACUUUGUUGCUAAACACAACAAAAA